rnacentral:rRNA from 1 species
GCAAGUCGAACGCGUCUUGGUUAAUGAUGUUAGGUGCUUGCAUUUAACUGAUUUAACAUUGAGACGAGUGGCGAACUGGUGAGUAACACGUGGGUAACCUGCCCUGAAGUGGGGGAUAACACUUGGAAACAGGUGCUAAUACCGCAUAACAACGAAAACCACAUGGUUUUCGUUUGAAAGAUGGCUUCGGCUGUCACUUCUGGAUGGACCCGCGGCGUAUUAGCUUGUUGGUGAGGUAACGGCUCACCAAGGCCAUGAUACGUAGCCGACCUGAGAGGGUAAUCGGCCACAUUGGGACUGAGACACGGCCCAAACUCCUACGGGAGGCAGCAGUAGGGAAUCUUCCACAAUGGACGAAAGUCUGAUGGAGCAACGCCGCGUGAGUGAUGAAGGGUUUCGGCUCGUAAAACUCUGUUGUUGGAGAAGAACAGGUGAUAGAGUAACUGUUAUCAUCUUGACGGUAUCCAACCAGAAAGCCACGGCUAACUACGUGCCAGCAGCCGCGGCAAUACGUAGGUGGCAAGCGUUGUCCGGAUUUAUUGGGCGUAAAGCGAGCGCAGGCGGUUUUUUAGGUCUGAUGUGAAAGCCUUCGGCUUAACCGGAGAAGGGCAUCGGAAACCGGGAGACUUGAGUGCAGAAGUGGACAGUGGAACUCCAUGUGUAGCGGUGAAAUGCGUAGAUAUAUGGAAGAACACCAGUGGCGAAGGCGGCUGUCUGGUCUGUAACUGUCGCUGAGGCUCGAAAGCAUGGGUAGCGAACAGGAUUAGAUACCCUGGUAGUCCAUGCCGUAAACGAUGAGUGCUAAGUGUUGGAGGGUUUCCGCCCUUCAGUGCUGCAGCUAACGCAUUAAAGCACUCCGCCUGGGGAGUACGACCGCAAAGGUUGAAACUCAAAGGAAUUGACGGGGGCCCGCACAAGCGGUGGAGCAUGUGGUUUAAUUCGAUGCUAC